GCGGGACUGACCCCUGGCGGCCAGGGCGCGGACUUCAAAUCCGUGGCGGCCGCGAGGCCGAGCGGUUCGACUCCGCCUGACUCGCG